UACGUAGGGGGCAAGCGUUGUCCGGAAUUAUUGGGCGUAAAGAGCUCGUAGGCGGUCCAGCAAGUCGGAAGUGAAAUCUCAGGGCUCAACCCUGAAAUUGCUUUCGAUACUGCUGGACUUGAGGCAGGUAGGGGAGAGUGGAAUUCCCGGUGUAGCGGUGAAAUGCGCAGAUAUCGGGAGGAACACCAGUGGCGAAGGCGGCUCUCUGGGCCUUGCCUGACGCUGAGGAGCGAAAGCGUGGGGAGCAAACAGG
rnacentral:misc_RNA from 1 species